UACGAGGGGAGCAAGCGUUGUUCGGAUUUACUGGGCGUAAAGGGCGCGUAGGCGGCCACGACAAGUCACUUGUGAAAUCUCCGGGCUUAACUCGGAACGGUCAAGUGAUACUGUCGGGCUAGAGUACAGAAGGGGCAACUGGAAUUCUCGGUGUAGCGGUGAAAUGCGUAGAUAUCGAGAAGAACACCUGCGGCGAAGGCGGGUUGCUGGGCUGAUACUGACGCUGAUGCGCGAAAGCCAGGGGAGCGAACGGG
rnacentral:rRNA from 1 species